CAGGCUUAACACAUGCAAGUCGAGGGGCAGCAUUUCAGUUUGCUUGCAAACUGGAGAUGGCGACCGGCGCACGGGUGAGUAACACGUAUCCAACCUGCCGAUAACUCGGGGAUAGCCUUUCGAAAGAAAGAUUAAUACCCGAUGGCAUAAUUAGACCGCAUGGUCUUAUUAUUAAAGAAUUUCGGUUAUCGAUGGGGAUGCGUUCCAUUAGGCAGUUGGUGAGGUAACGGCUCACCAAACCUUCGAUGGAUAGGGGUUCUGAGAGGAAGGUCCCCCACAUUGGAACUGAGACACGGUCCAAACUCCUACGGGAGGCAGCAGUGAGGAAUAUUGGUCAAUGGACGAGAGUCUGAACCAGCCAAGUAGCGUGAAGGAUGACUGCCCUAUGGGUUGUAAACUUCUUUUAUAUGGGAAUAAAGUUUUCCACGUGUGGAAUUUUGUAUGUACCAUAUGAAUAAGGAUCGGCUAACUCCGUGCCAGCAGCCGCGGUAAUACGGAGGAUCCGAGCGUUAUCCGGAUUUAUUGGGUUUAAAGGGAGCGUAGGUGGACAGUUAAGUCAGUUGUGAAAGUUUGCGGCUCAACCGUAAAAUUGCAGUUGAUACUGGCUGUCUUGAGUACAGUAGAGGUGGGCGGAAUUCGUGGUGUAGCGGUGAAAUGCUUAGAUAUCACGAAGAACUCCGAUUGCGAAGGCAGCUCACUGGACUGCAACUGACACUGAUGCUCGAAAGUGUGGGUAUCAAACAGGAUUAGAUACCCUGGUAGUCCACACAGUAAACGAUGAAUACUCGCUGUUUGCGAUAUACAGUAAGCGGCCAAGCGAAAGCAUUAAGUAUUCCACCUGGGGAGUACGCCGGCAACGGUGAAACUCAAAGGAAUUGGCGGGGGCCCGCACAAGCGGAGGAACAUGUGGUUUAAUUCGAUGAUACGCGAGGAACCUUACCCGGGCUUAAAUUGCAUUUGAAUAAUCUGGAAACAGGUUAGCCGCAAGGCAAAUGUGAAGGUGCUGCAUAGUUGUCGUCAGCUCGUGCCGUGAGGUGUCGGCUUAAGUGCCAUAACGAGCGCAACCCUUAUCUUUAGUUACUAACAGGUCAUGCUGAGGACUCUAGAGAGACUGCCGUCGUAAGAUGUGAGGAAGGUGGGGAUGACGUCAAAUCAGCACGGCCCUUACGUCCGGGGCUACACACGUGUUACAAUGGGGGGUACAGAAGGCAGCUACCUGGUGACAGGAUGCUAAUCCCAAAAGCCUCUCUCAGUUCGGAUCGAAGUCUGCAACCCGACUUCGUGAAGCUGGAUUCGCUAGUAAUCGCGCAUCAGCCAUGGCGCGGUGAAUACGUUCCCGGGCCUUGUACACACCGCCCGUCAAGCCAUGAAAGCCGGGGGUACCUGAAGUACGUAACCGCAAGGAGCGUCCUAGGGUAAAACUGGUAAUUGG
rnacentral:rRNA from 1 species